ensembl:lncRNA
CUCGGAGGCAGUCGAAUCUGUGGCUAGCUUCCUAACAGGUACAAAACAGGAGUGGUUUCUCAUUUCUCUGAAACGACAUCAGGCUUGUGUUCUGGAUAAAGUUGCCAAGUGGGCGGGCCUAGGUAUAAAAUAACGAGGCAGAGAUUUGAGGCCAACGUUAGAACCUACUGAGCACUCAGAACAGUGCUACUCCUUCAGACGACUCCAGAGAUGACGCCAGUGUCCAGGGUGGAAGUUCCUUGCAGCAACUGACUGGACGGUCAGUUUGCCACGGAGCGCUCUGUCACUACGCAAACCUGCUGCGCCCCAUCUCCAAUGCUGUUCUGUGGAGGAGCGGAGCAGGAAGAGAGUGGAAGGAAAGCAGCUUCCAGGAGUUUAUUGAACAGGCUUCAGAACAAAGAAUACCAAGGUGAAUAGAGACAAAGGAACUACAGAGAUGUGGAUAACAACAUGUACUGCUCAUGCAGAGAACCUGAACUCCGUUCCCAGCACCCACGUCCCUCACGACCACCUCCACCUCCAUCUUCAAAGUCUCUGUAGAUACCCGUACUCAUGUGCACGUACACAGAUGGUCAAGAAUGAGCAUCUCGAUAAUUACCAAAAUUUCGUGCCUGACUGAUGAGUUUUUCAAGUGCUGUGCUGUGAUUUCCUUCACCUUGAACCAUGCCCGUGACAGAAGCUGCUCAGAUGUUUGUAAGUUGCGGGAAGUUCAUGGGGUUGUGAGUCUCGUCAGGCCCUUCCCAUGGCUGUCUGAGCAGUGAGCGACUGCAGGGCUGUGAUGAACAAGAAGCCAGCACCACUGAGGCAAAGACCUUUGUUUUAUUGGGACUAUGGACGGUGGUUAUCUAGAGCUGAGAAAUUAGCAGUGAUUAAGAGACCAGCAUCACUGAGGUAAAAUCUUCUGAGAAGUCUUUCCUCAAGGUCAGCACACAGAAGUUGUGGCCCGGAGUAAGCCAAGUUUGUAGUUUGUUCUUGCAGCUGACCUUGGUAAUGUGUAAGAGUUUGGAAGGUGUUCUGAAGGAAUGAAGGGUGAGAGGCCAGGAGAGUCCACUGAAGAAGGUGUAGUUUCAGUUGAAGUAGAAGCGUCAGGGCUGAAGGAGUCAUGGAAGAAACCUGAGGCCUGGAACCAUGAGGCAGUGUCAGAGUGCCGGAAGAGACUCCAGGAAGCCACUAGUGAAGGUGCAGCCCAAUUGCCAUAGAAACCCUAGCAGUUUGGAGAACCCAACAAUAGAUCGUGAGUUGUGUGAAAAUAGAGAAAGUGAGGUGUGUGAGCCUCUCACCUUGGAGGAUCUGUGUGGGUCAAUGACAAAUUCUGCAACAGAACAGUUACCAGGAUUAAAGGGCCCUGUGCAAUAGCUACUCCUUCUCAUGUUUGCUAAUGCAAAACAAUUUUUGACACGUUUUUCAAAAACUGUAAUUUCCCUGGGCUGUGAUACUCUGAGUUGUAAGGGCUGUGACUGAUUUCCUUUGAAUAAUUAUUAUAUUAUCUCACGACUGUUAUAUAAUUGUAUAAUGCUCACUGGAUGAGAAAUAAACAAAUUAAACAAAAGUAGCUAGGAUGUGUCAAGGCAACGUUUUGAUGUUAAGUGAACUACACAAAGGGAAGGGGUUAUUUUCAUUCACUCAUCAAACAAUCCUGGAGAACUGUGUUAAGCAGAGCCUGAAGAUCUCCUGUCCAUAGUAGCAUUUUUAAAAUGUUUUAUUGAUUUUUUGGGGGAAUUUUACAUUAUACACCCCAAUCCAUUCAUCUCCCUGUCCCUUCAUCUCCAUCCCCCAUCCUUGCAACCUCUCCUGCAAACCAAAAUCAUGAAAACAACAACAAAUCUAUCUUUGGGAGCUGUGGUGUGUCACACAGUAUAUCCUUUUGCCUCAGUAGCUUUAUUUGAAAACAUUUGUUGCAAUGACUCAUCGGUCUGGUUGAAGACCUCUGGCUUCUGCUACAUUAUCAAUACUGGAUCCUCAUGGGGACUCCUUUCAGAAAUCCUGUCGUCACCCUGUAUCCUGGAGAUCCUGUAGCUUCGGAUCUGCACCACCUGUCCCUUCACAAUUCACAGAUAUCAGCACAGACUCUGCCUGUGGUAGGGCCACAGACCUAGACAUGGCCAUUGGCAGCAGUCGCCUGGACAUUCCUUUGGCCUCUGGUUUCUGGUAUCUGCCUGUUCUUCACCAUCAACGUGUCUCCAGUCCACCUCUUUCCACAGUGCUUGAAUCACUCGGUUUUGCUUUCCCACUCAUCUCUCCACUCAAGACUUCAUAUUUCCCAUCUCUUCAUCACAUAUUUGCUCAUCGUGGUGGCAGGCGUCUUUUGGGUGUCCUUUUUAUGGCUGCCUGGGUUGGCCUCAUUUUUUUCCACCAUGAGAAGUUCAUGGCCAAGCACUCACAGGACAGUCACGGAGAUAGCACCAGUCAAGCUCAGUAAAGAAGAAAAGAUGUGGUGAGUAAGAAAGAACAGCGCCUUGGCUUUAGGAGCACUUGGACGGCUAAAAAUACAAGAGACGCUCAAAACUGAACACUCAACUGAAGGCUCAAGUGUGUUUUCUCUCUUCUGCUUGUCUUUUCCCUUUUCACUUUCCAAUGAAUCUGCCCAUGUGUUUUAAUUCUUUAAGGAAUCACAUUAAGUCAAGAGCACUGGACAAGUUCCAGCUUACCGUGUGGCUGGCAUCAUUUCUUUUGAAUGAAGAAGGAGUUUAACCUUUUAAAUUUCUUCAAGGAUACAAGAAAAAUUAAUUCUUUUCAUACAAAACAUAAGACUACGAACUGAAUUCUGUGAGUUAACUGACUAAUUUAGUGCCUCCAGUGGCGCGAGUACACUAUUCAUACAGUGUGCUAAAGACUGGAUGGGGUCCUAAAGGGCAUACUGAAUUUAAGUCAUUGCUGCCCUCAGAGAGCAGAACACUCAUAGAACAAGGUCAGACAGACAUAGAAAUACUUGGUAAUAAUUGUGGGAAACAUAUUAUAAGGAAGGAGUUAAUUUAUGCAUUGUCAGAUAUGCAGAGGGAAACUGUCAUUAUUGUAAGUGGAUCAUAAUGACAGCCUCACAAGGUGUUAAAAUUGCCUAUAGAGCCAGGAAAUAAUUAAGAAAAUGUCUCCAGUGGAAAAGCAGUCAUUUCCUAGUUAUUACCCAGGCUCCUACCACUUAGCUUCCACAAGUGAUCUCAGAGGUUUUUGUGUAGUGAUGGUGAUUCAUCUCGUGCUCUGGGCAGUAUCUUCUGGAACCUUUGUUUCUCUCUAAGCACGGUGCACAGACUGUGUUCCAAUCCAAUAGUAAUGUUGUGCGUGCACAGACAUGUUCUCAUUACCUGCCCUUUGCAGCUGAGUUGUUGGUUCCUCUUAUCAUGCAAGAAGGGGAUAAGUGUAAUACCCAAGCUGUUUUAUUUUAGCCAGAAGGGUCAUAGAUCUGCCUUCCAUGGAAAUCGUGCAGUGGUUUCAAACCUCGACCUAAAUGCAGCCUGUUUUGUCAGAGAUGCUUGACGACUCCUUCAAAUGAAAGUUUACACUUGGCAUUUACAGGAAGGAGCCUCUUGGUUACAGCACUUUCUGAGAGACAGCAAUCUCUACUCAACAUGUCAGCUUCAUAUGUAUUAUUACAUGUACGUGGUAUACACAAAAAUGUAGAAUGAAGAAGGUUUAGGGAGCUAACCAAGACCCAGCUUUAAGAGUCCUUUGAGGACCAAGAGAUAACUAAGCUACCUCAUGAUUCAGACGCCGUACAUUUUCUUCCACAGUGUUCUUAGGUGGAGGAAGAACUAAAGUUCUUUACUUAAGUGUGUUAGCAUGCAAUAUGGGUGACUUCGAGAGCUGUAAUACGCAGCUUUCCAGAACCUUUAGGACCACAAAACUACUCCCCCCCCCCCCCCACUAAGCAACUUUUAGCAGUUUAAGGUUUACAAAAUGGUGCUUUUCUGUAUCGCCACAAAGAGAGCCAUUCCCCACUUUCUCCUCAUUAGAGCCUUUCAAAUUUCAUCCAACCUUCCCUUUGAAAACUCUUCAGUUCAAAAGUAAGCAGGUGCUAUGUAAAUAAAUUCCUAUCUUACACAUGUGAUAUAUCAAUGUGAUUCUGCUAAAUGGUUCUUCGCCUUAGGCUAUCACAUGCUUAUAAGAUACGACUUCUUAUUCAUCAAAUUUGGCAGUUCAUGGAAAUUAAUUGUUGAAACCAUAUGACUUUACUGAUGUGGAAUACUGAGAGUACUCAUACACAGACAGACAGACAGAAGAUAGAAUGACGGACUUGACUGUUCAUGGGAGGAGGCAGGGAAUGAGGAGAUGAUGUUUAACUCCUAAAAAGAUAAGGACACUGGGGUCUGGAGAGAUGGCUCAGCAGUUAAAAGCACUGACCGCUCUUCCAAAGGUCGUGAGUUCAAUUCCCAACAACCACAUGGUGUCUUACAAUCAUCUGUAAUGGGAUCUGAUGCCCUCUUCUAGUGUGUCCAAGUACAGUGUCAGUGUACUACAUAAUGAAUGAAUGAAUUAGUUAAUUAAUUAAUUAAUUAAUAAAUAAAUAACUCUUUUAAAAAAAGGAAAAAUCCCACACCAAAAAACGUAGGGAUAUUUACCUUCCCAAAGUAAAAACAUUCUGGAUUUUGGCUGUGUGAUAUGUGAACGUGCUUAACAUUACGGAACAAUAUAUUUAGCAACAAUUGUGCUUUCCAAUUUUUCAAUGUAGUUUUAUAUUAAAUUUUACUAAAUACAAAUACAGAAAUUUAACUGUUUAAAUAUUUAAUAAAUUUCCUCCUGGAGAGUGAAUUAUACUGCAAAAGGGAAAUACUUCUUGGAUUAGCACAGUAAACUGAAGCUGUCCCUUAAGGGAGUUAAUGGCAGCAGAGGGAAACUGUAAUGUUGUGGAUUUGGUCUGGUGCUACUUAUGUUAACUUGGUC